rnacentral:rRNA from 1 species
UGGGGAAUUUUGGACAAUGGGCGCAAGCCUGAUCCAGCCAUGCCGCGUGAGUGAAGAAGGCUUUCGGGUUGUAAAGCUCUUUCAGACGGAAAGAAAUCUCUCAGGAUAAUACCUUGGGAGGAUGACGGUACCGUAAGAAGAAGCUCCGGCUAACUACGUGCCAGCAGCCGCGGUAAUACGUAGGGUGCGAGCGUUAAUCGGAAUUACUGGGCGUAAAGCGUGCGCAGGCGGUGAUGUAAGACAGAUGUGAAAUCCCCGGGCUCAACCUGGAAACCGCGUUUAUGACGGCAUCACUCGAGUAAGGCAGAGGGAGGCGGAAUUCCGCGUGUAGCAGUGAAAUACGUAGAUAUACGGAGAAACACCGAUGGCGAAGGCAAUCACCUGGACCUGUACUAACACUCAUGAACGAAAGCGUGGGAAGCAAACA